GCACCCAGGAAGAGGAGGCAGGAGGAUUAGGAGUUGAAGAUCGGUUCUCCACUGCACAACCAGUUUGAGGCUAGCCUCAAACUUGAAGUACUGUUUCAAAAUCAAACAAACAGAAAGCCAUUAUUUUAUACGUUCUAGAAGCUUUAAUAUUUUUCUUUGAAGUCUUCGAUCCACAGUGAGGUGUGUGUGUGUGUGUGUGUGUGUGUGUGUGUGUGUUUUUCUGAGAUGGGUACCUAAUUGUCCCAGGACCACGUGUUGAACAGUUCAUGGCUUUGCUCUGUUGCCCAGAGCAGGGUAAGGACAGGGCAAGCAUAGCCGCCAAGCAAGGGUGCAAGUUCAUGGCCAACUGAGCACGGUGACUUCCUAAAUUUAAACUCUAUUCUCCCCUACUGUAGCUGUCCUCUUCUUGAGCCUCACCCAUGAUGGGAAGGUUCUUUUUGCCUCAGAUAACUCCCAACACACAGGCGACUUUUGGUCUUCUGCCCAGAAAUGUGGGUAUCUGACACAGGCUUUGUGGAAGAGGAGAAUGCUGGGAUCUCCUUUCGGCUCCGACUCUAGAAUAAAGAGUACAUUCAUCUCGGAAGGCCAGAGAGCUGCCUCUGGGGACUGGGACCUUGUGCCCUAGUGGUGCUGGGAGAGGCUUCCCAGUACUGGAUGGCUCCAGUGACGGGCAGAAGGCUGGAGCGUUCUGCUGUCGUGCGUGGAGCCCUCAGGGCCUGGUACUCGCGGGGUCUACCCCCUUCCUUCUUCACAGAAUGUGAGAGGUGCUUAGAACCACCCAGAAAGUUUAAGCCUCUCACAGACAUGGGAUUCGAUAACACAGAAAAUUUUAACUAUUUCAUUCAACUGACCAGGCCUUUGGGAUGCAGCUUGGAGAAAAUAAAAGCUGUAAAGUGCUCUUCCCCUUUAACACUGCUGUCACCCCCUUCAAGUGCCCGAGGACUCUCACCUCAGAUUCAGAAGCCUUGGAGAACUCUGGUGUGUAACUUUUUAACCACACUCUUCUGUUUUUAUUGUGCUUGUAUGGGGGGAUUACCUUCUAUUCUGGCACGUCAUGGAGUUUACUAUCAAUAGUGCUAACGGAAUGUUUUCUUUUUAACUCAUUUGCCUUGUGUGCCAAAGUCACAUUAUGUCUGUAUUUGGGUAACGAGAUAUAGGAAAGGUAUUUUUUUCUUACCAUUUUUUUUGAGUUACUUAACGUUUUUAUUUUUUACAGUGGAUGUGUUAGUUGUAUAAUCAGAACUUUAUUUUUAUUACAGAUGAAGAUGUAUACACAUAUAUGCACAUCUAAAGGAACAUUAAGUGAAUAAUAAUACAACAAUUGCAUAUUUAUCCGUAUCUUGACCAAAGUUAAGAAACUCAGCUCAGAGACUGAUGCCUUCGUGGGAUGCAGGGGUUUAUAUUUGGGACCCCGCCAGGAAUGGGGUGGAGCCUGAUGAACCCCCUUACGGGGCAUGGGAAAGCAGGAGAACUGACUUCAUGUCCUGGGGGAUUCUGGCAACCCCACCUAGAGGAUGAGUAGGCGACAGGGGACACCCCAGGAUCUGGACUUCUCUGAUUGGGAGCCCCGUGAUUGCUCUACUAUACCUGGGCUGACAGGGAGUAGCCUUCUCCCGGCUGAGCUGUCUCCUCUCCCGGGGAAUCAUGGGACUGAUCUGCCGUGCUUCACACUCUGACUCCUGCCUUGGUUGUCUGAUGCGGUUCAGCAGUAGCCUGGGCAGCAGUGUCUACCCAGUGAGCAACACUAGCGACUAAGGGAGGACCAAGGGUCACAAUCUCUGCUCCUAAGAAGUGAGAGUCUGUGGGGCUGGCGGUUAAGAAGAUAGGUGUACGGAGGAUCAGAGUACAGACUGUCUUAGCAUGCAGUGGGUAGCCUCGAAGGGCAGGGGCAAGACAAAGGGUGAGCAGGAAACAUUGACCCAGACACAAGGAAACCAAUCUCUGGCAGGAAAGGAAGAGUACGCAGAAAUCUUGAGGUAGAGGGACAGUGUGUUCUGCUGAGAGACACUCCUCACGGUUUAUCUUUCAGGUAGCUUAAGAAGAGGGCCCAAGAUGGACAAUGGUCAGACAAGUCCUGAAGGCUCUCCUGGAACAGAGCAUCUUAGUUGGGUACCAUUCUGUCCUCUGGGAACAUUCAGCUGAUUGUCAUAAGGAUGUACAGGGUUUAGUGGGUCACGCUAAGGAAACUGUGAAACUCCCAGCAAUGCACGGGACAGCCCUUGGCCACAAGGAAUGACCUGGCCAAGAGAGUCAUCAGCCCUUGGCCACAAGGAAUGACCUGGCCCAGGGUGUCAUCAGCCCCUGGCCACAAAGAAUGGCCUGGCCCAGGGUGUCAUCAGGGCUGAAGGUGACAAGCCUUCUUCUAGGACCACUUUUGGACUUUUUUUGUUCCCUUUUCUAAAGCCUGGGGGAAUCGUGACGGGGCUUCACACAGCAGAGUGUCAGGGUUAUAUUUGUAUUUAUAACCAAGCCUGGCUGUUCCAGGUAGGUCUGUAGCAUUUAGAUUCACUUUCAUGUUUCCACAGCCAGUCUCUACAUGGGGUUUCCAGCCAUGAGCCUCCACCACUAGCCUUCACCUUUUGAUUGGUCUAUGACCAUCUGGGUCUCCCCAGUACAGAGACUCGAUUCAGAGCUAAGUCAUACGGGGCUUUUUCCUGAGCUACAAGAGUCACAGAAUUCGGGUCUGCCAAAUAUUUCAGCAUCUGUAGCAGGCAGACAAACACCUCAGAGAUGUCUGUGAUCCUAACCCUUGGACCUGCAGAUGUCAUGUUACACACAGAGGAGAAUUUAGAUGUGACUAGUUAUGGCUUCUGGAUUCUGAGCCGUGAGGAGAUUAUGCUGGAUUUUGUAGGCAAACUCAGUGUCAUCAAAAGGACCCUCAGGAGAGGAAGGCAGGAGGGUCAAAUUCAGACAUAUGAUGAUGAGAACAGACCAGGAUUGAAAAUGCUGUGUGGACCACUCUGAGGAUGGGGGCUGCACUGUGAGCCUUUGUUGACACCUGACCACUGACUCUUCCUUCUAGAGAGAGACAUUCGUUACCCUUCCUUCCACUUUCAAACAAUUGAAACAGUUGACCCCAAAGAAUUCAAAUUUCUUCAGGAAACCCAUGCCAGUAAGAGAGUUAAAGCCGGGCUGGGGAGAGGAGCAAGCACACAGUUCUGAGGAGAGCUCACAGCCAAAUCAGUCUCCUUGCAGGGACUCUGAUCUUGCUGCUCACUGACUGGCCUUCCAGGCUUUCUUGGGAUACCCCUGUGACCCUGCAAGUCUUGUGCUGUGCAAGCCUGCAAAAUCAACACCAUGUGGAUGACAUCAAGGUCCGUCACCAGGAGGAGCAGAAUCUGAACCCCUCCUGGGAUCAGGGCUACAGUGACCUGGGAAUGUCUGAAGGCAGCGAAGGAGAUUCCUGGGAAAUCGCUUCCUCGGUGGUCCCAUGGGAGCAGAAUGCAAAUGAAGGAUUUAGACUGUCAGCCCACCCCAGGUAUUUCAUUGGAGCAGAGGGAAAACAGCCUAACACACUGAUGCUGGCCACAAAGAUAACAUGUUGCUCUAUUAACCCUUUCUUCAGAGGAUCAUUCAUCCGAUCACUUAAAGGGACACAAGAGAUAAGACUCACUGUAUAGUCCUUGUUGGGCUGGAACUUGCUAUGUAGAGCAGUCUGGCCUUGAACUCAGAAUGGCCUGCCUGCCUCUGUCUCCCUGGGAUUAAAGGCCUGCACCACCAGGACAUUCUUACAGAGAUCUGUCUUCAGAGUGUAGAAGUUGGUGUGAGUAACAAGAGCCUGGGUAGUCUGGAGGUCAAGGCAGUGGCUGGUGAGAUGAACCCUCUGCUGUCUACACGGAUGUGACUGCAAGAGACCUGGCUGAUUCGACAGCCUGGACAAUUAGCACCAAUCUCAGGUGUAUUAUCAAAGAUGAGACGGGCAAAUUGCAUCGGACAUUUCCAGGGCUUGGCUUCUGAACUGAGAGAACCUAUGACUUGCACUGUUUCAUUUGAAAUAAAUUAAUUUCUCCUGGGCUUUCAGGCAUACAUUUCUGUAUGUUUCCUAUUAGUCUUUUUGACACAAAUCGGUGAUAUAGACAAUAUUUUCCAAGAAGGGUCACAGGCUGUCAGCAGGUGUUACCCUCACAGUUCCUGCUGUGCUUCCCUGUGGUCAACAUUUGGGGACUGCCUGCCACUUGCCGCCAACACUGUUACUAUGACAACCUGUCUGGUGAUUCUGUACCUUGGAGGAUGUGAUCCUCAUUCCUGGGGCAGAGCCUCCAGGCCACGCACAGUAGACCUGCAUUCAGGCUUGGAUUCUAUGUAUUUUCAGUGCUAGGACAGUUUCCCACUUUCCCAUUGAAGUACAGAAAGAAUACAAAAGAUGCAUUUCCUGCCGAUAGAGGACGAGAAACAACGUGAAGAGGAACUAAAUCGGGGACCAAGAAUUGCAUGGUCAACCUCCUGGCUGGGUUCCGGGGAGGGGGGGGGGGGGAAGGCAUCUGGCUUCUUCAAGGAUUGGGUAUGACUGUGUAAAGUUGUUCAUACAUGUGACUGUAUCUGCAGCUGAAGGAGUUUUCUGGCCCGCCAGUAGGAAGCCUGCUACAACAGCAGGUCUCGCGCUAACCACACAUUAACGUUGGAUCGACUCUGGUAUGGUCUGCUCACGGUGCCAGAUCGACUCUGGGACGGUCUGCUCACGGUGCGGGAUUGACUCUGGGACGGUCUGCUCACGGUGCCAGCUGAUGUCUCACAGCACACCAAAUCAUUGUUUGGGCUCUUGCUGCUCCUGAGUCACAAUGACACAUGAUCGAGGCCUUAUUUCUCCUGUUUCUGAUUAUUAAUGAGAAUCUCAUUUUAAUCAGUGCAACUGACUUCCGGCCCAUCGGCUCCCAUACAGACCGGAAGAGAACGCUUCGUCCAAAGCUAACUUUAGGAACCGAUACCAGCCGUUCUACUUGUUAUGACUACAUUUUGGUCUCCCUGGUGAAAUAUUUGUUCAGAGAAGUCAAGUCUGUGAGAUGUGGGUUUGACCUAAGAGAUUGGGCACAUACAUCUAUUGGUCUCCAUAGAACUUUUCUAGUUGCGAUUACAUUUCUGUUUGAUCUAAAAAGUCUCUGUUACGCUCUUCCACAGCCGCACAAGCAAAUAACCUAAAAUUAAUUAGAACCAUAUCAUUGCUAGUAAUAUCCAUCCUCAGGUCUCAGUUGACAAAAUUGUUUUCAUUCAAUUACUUGCCUUCCAUUUGAUUCUUCUGUUCAUCAGCAUCCCUGGUAAUUAUUUUCCUUUUAUGCCCUCAUGACAUGCUCAAACAACCUGCCAGGAAUGCAUUCAGAUUCCGACAAAACCCCUUUACUCUACUACAGUUCAAUUACAGAUAUUUUUAGGUUUCCUGUUCUUGAUCCUCAUUCUUUCUCUAGUAUUGUUCUUGUCUAAACCCGGGAGAGCCAGGCAGUUACACCCUUGAAAAGUCCCCUUCACUUACUGCCACACGUUAGACUUUGUCUUCAUUGCUGGGCAUCCUUGCUCUCAAUUUCCAACCAUCUAGACGACUGUUUGCCCUCAUACUUCCCAUUCUCCCCCUAUCAUCUCACCCACCUCGUGUUUCCAAACGUGAAGUCUGAUGCUCUGACCACUCAGCUGGUGCCUGUCCUGAAGUCUAGUAGCUGGUGGCCACACUGGCGUGGAUGGAGGCCAAUGACCAAACAGUCCUUCAUCGCUGACGGACACAGCCGCAGCCUGCUAGCUCCUCAUUAUUUUCAUCCUAAUUCCUCUUCCAACUUUUCUGAAAAAACAGAGUGACCUAAAUGAAGAGCCCUCCGAGCAUAGCAGUAAACCAAAGAAUGGAGACUCAGUUUUACUGAAACAACAAGAAAGAAGCAGUAAUCACUGUCGGAACCCAGAGCUGGUAUUUUAGUUUAAACUAUUUCCGUCUUCUGUUCUUGAGGGCUAUUUAUCUUUUAAAAUAUCUUUUUGCAUUUAUAUUUUAUUUAUUUAUCUAUUUAUUUAUUUACUUUUCAAG